rnacentral:lncRNA from 1 species
AUGAAUUCCAGUUUAAACUUAAGCCACACGGGCACCAAGUUAGAGCGAGUCCAUAAAGUCAAAAGAAUUUUUUGUUCAGUUAGGAAAUCUUACCGUCUCCCACAGCAGCUCGUGAAACUCGGUUUCCUCGUCGAUACGGACGCGGACCAGGAGCGCAGAAGCCCGCGACUUCGUGGUUCCCGCCAAAACAAAGGCUGGGUCGGCGUUCCACGCUCAGGUGUCCUGUUGGAACCACUGUGUGACGAUUAUGUGGCGAAGAGAUGGGCUGGAACAUCUUCAGUUUCCAAGACCGUACACAUGGUUUCUGACCGCAGCUCAAAAUUUUCCACUGGGCUCCCUCCUGAGAACAAACACCGCUCAGCGGAGAGUGUGCGCCGCCUGCGCGUGUCCAGCCUCCCCGCGCCGCCCUUUGCAGGACCAGGGGCCGCUGCACCCCACACCGAAGCCCAGACCUUACCUAGCAGAGGUUCGCUUUAUCCGCCACACUACCACUCCCCCAUCAGACGUAUUUUCCGUUUCUCCUUUGCCUAUAAAAAUGAGAAGAUUCAUCAGGUUGGAAUUUAA